rnacentral:rRNA from 1 species
UACAGAGGGUGCAAGCGUUGCUCGGAAUUACUGGGCGUAAAGGGCGCGUAGGCGGCCCGCUAAGUCGAACGUGAAAUCCCCGAGCUCAACUCGGGAACUGCGUCCGAUACUGGCGGGCUUGAAUCCGGGAGAGGGAUGCGGAAUUCCAGGUGUAGCGGUGAAAUGCGUAGAUAUCUGGAGGAACACCGGUGGCGAAGGCGGCAUCCUGGACCGGCAUUGACGCUGAGUGAGCGAAAGCUAGGGGAGCAAACGGG